rnacentral:rRNA from 1 species
GCUUACGGCCAUACCAUCCUGAGCACGCCAGAUCUCGUCUGAUCUCGGAAGCUAAGCAGAGACGGGCCCGGUUAGUACUUAGAUGGAAGACCGCCUGGGAAUCCCAAGUGCUGUAGGCC